UACGUAGGGUGCAAGCGUUAAUCGGAAUUACUGGGCGUAAAGCGUGCGCAGGCGGUUAUGUAAGACCGUUGUGAAAUCCCCGGGCUCAACCUGGGAACUGCAUCCGGGACUGCAUUGCUAGAGUAUGGGAGAGGGAAGCGGAAUUUCUGGUGUAGCAGUGAAAUGCGUAGAUAUCAGAAGGAACAUCAGUGGCGAAGGCGGCUUCCUGGACCAAUACUGACGAUCAGGUGCGAAAGCGUGGGGAGCAAACAGG
rnacentral:rRNA from 1 species